GCUCCCUUCGCUUAGUCGGUUAAAGCGAAGGUCUCAUAAUCCUUAGCCCUGAGUUCGAUUCUCAGAGGGAGCA
rnacentral:tRNA from 1 species